rnacentral:rRNA from 1 species
GUGAGUAACGCGUGAGUAACCUGCCUUUCAGAGGGGGAUAACGUCUGGAAACGGACGCUAAUACCGCAUGAGACCACAGCUUCAUAUGGAGCGGCGGUCAAAGGAGCAAUCCGCUGAAAGAUGGACUCGCGUCCGAUUAGAUAGUUGGCGGGGUAACGGCCCACCAAGUCGACGAUCGGUAGCCGGACUGAGAGGUUGAACGGCCACAUUGGGACUGAGACACGGCCCAGACUCCUACGGGAGGCAGCAGUGAGGGAUAUUGGUCAAUGGGGGAAACCCUGAACCAGCAACGCCGCGUGAGGGAAGACGGUUUUCGGAUUGUAAACCUCUGUCCUCUGUGAAGAUAGUGACGGUAGCAGAGGAGGAAGCUCCGGCUAACUACGUGCCAGCAGCCGCGGUAAUACGUAGGGAGCGAGCGUUGUCCGGAUUUACUGGGUGUAAAGGGUGCGUAGGCGGCUCUGCAAGUCAGAAGUGAAAUCCAUGGGCUUAACCCAUGAACUGCUUUUGAAACUGUAGAGCUUGAGUGAAGUAGAGGUAGGCGGAAUUCCCGGUGUAGCGGUGAAAUGCGUAGAGAUCGGGAGGAACACCAGUGGCGAAG